rnacentral:tRNA from 1 species
GUGCAAUUAGCUCAGUUGGUAGAGUCCUGGAUUGUGGUUCCAGUUGUCGUGGGUUCGAGCCCCACAUUGCACCCCA